AGAAUUACAGUGAUUACUAAAGUUGGUCACAUAUUCCCCCCAUCUCUAUAUGCAUUCCUCUUUGUGAUGUCACUUUGCUGUCCUUUCCACUAAAUAGUAGAACCUAUUUCUCUACCCUCUUGAGUCCUUGUCAUGUGAUUUGCCUUGACCAAGAAAAUCUCAAAGAAGUGAUGUUAUGGUAAUUCACAGCCUACACCACAACAGGCCAGAAACGUCUACCUUAUCCCUCUUGAAAUGCUACCCUGAGACUGACAUAUGGGGAGUCUGGGCUAGACUCCUUGAGGGUGAGAAACUAUGUGAAGCAAGGUCUGGCCAAUAGACAGCCCCAAAUGCCAGAAUUGGGAGUGAAGUCAUCAUAGACAAUCUGUCUCUAAUGGAGUCCCCAGAUGUGUGCAGAAUAGGAAUAGCCCCAGGAAAGACCAACAGAAGAACCACUCACCUGAGCUCAGCCCAAAUUGUUGACUCACAGAAUUAAUUACAAUCUCCUGUUCCCCCUGAAAGAGCCCAGAUAGAUUCCCAGAUGAGUAUCGGAAGAGGUAGCUGCCAUCAGGACUUGCUUGAUGGACCCAAGCACUCAUCUAAUAGUGGCACUGGAAGAAUUAAUCUGGCUGAUAUAUCAGACCUCUCUCCUCCGUGGGAACUUGCCAUUUUCUCCAGCCUCUGAGUUUUUCUAGUGAGAUUCAGAGAUACAGCCAAAUCGCCUUAUACAAGGCAGGUGCUUGAUACAGGUUGAAUGAAGAUUAUGUUUACCAGGUUCCAGCUUUCUCCAUGAACCUCUUAACCUCCUCUUCAAGCAGAUGUCA
rnacentral:lncRNA from 1 species